CGCUGGCGGCAGGCCUAACACAUGCAAGUCGAGCGGAAACGAGUUAACUGACCCUUCGGGUGACGUUAACGGCGUCGAGCGGCGGACGGGUGAGUAAUGCCUGGGAAAUUGCCCUGAUGUGGGGGAUAACCAUUGGAAACGAUGGCUAAUACCGCAUAAUGCCUUCGGGCCAAAGAGGGGGACCUUCGGGCCUCUCGCGUCAGGAUAUGCCCAGGUGGGAUUAGCUAGUUGGUGAGGUAAUGGCUCACCAAGGCGACGAUCCCUAGCUGGUCUGAGAGGAUGAUCAGCCACACUGGAACUGAGACACGGUCCAGACUCCUACGGGAGGCAGCAGUGGGGAAUAUUGCACAAUGGGCGCAAGCCUGAUGCAGCCAUGCCGCGUGUGUGAAGAAGGCCUUCGGGUUGUAAAGCACUUUCAGCAGUGAGGAAGGCGGGUACGUUAAUAGCGUAUUCGUUUGACGUUAGCUGCAGAAGAAGCACCGGCUAACUCCGUGCCAGCAGCCGCGGUAAUACGGAGGGUGCGAGCGUUAAUCGGAAUUACUGGGCGUAAAGCGCAUGCAGGUGGUUCGUUAAGUCAGAUGUGAAAGCCCGGGGCUCAACCUCGGAACUGCAU
rnacentral:rRNA from 1 species